UGGGGAAUAUUGCACAUUGGGGGAAACCCUGAUGCAGCGACGCCGCGUGAGCGAAGAAGGCUUUCGAGUCGUAAAGCUCUGUCCUAUGAGAAGAUAAUGACGGUAUCAUAGGAGGAAGCCCUGGCUAAAUACGUGCCAGCAGCCGCGGUAAUACGUAUGGGGCGAGCGUUGUCCGGAAUUAUUGGGCGUAAAGGGUGCGUAGGUGGUCCUUCAAGUCGGUGGUUAAAGGCUACGGCUCAACCGUAGUAAGCCGCCGAAACUGGAGGACUUGAGUGCAGGAGAGGAAAGUGGAAUUCCCAGUGUAGCGGUGAAAUGCGUAGAUAUUGGGAGGAACACCAGUAGCGAAGGCGGCUUUCUGGACUGCAACUGACACUGAGGCACGAAAGCGUGGGUAGCAAACAGG
rnacentral:rRNA from 1 species